rnacentral:rRNA from 1 species
AUUGAACGCUGGCGGCAUGCUUUACACAUGCAAGUCGAACGGUAACAGGUUAAGCUGACGAGUGGCGAACGGGUGAGUAAUGCAUCGGAACGUGCCCGAUCGUGGGGGAUAACGCAGCGAAAGCUGCGCUAAUACCGCAUACGAUCUGAGGAUGAAAGCGGGGGACCGUAAGGCCUCGCGCGAUCGGAGCGGCCGAUGUCAGAUUAGGUAGUUGGUGGGGUAAAGGCCCACCAAGCCGACGAUCUGUAGCUGGUCUGAGAGGACGACCAGCCACCAUGGGACUGAGACACGGCCCAGACUCCUACGGGAGGCAGCAGUGGGGAAUUUUGGACAAUGGGCGAAAGCCUGAUCCAGCAAUGCCGCGUGCAGGAAGAAGGCCUUCGGGUUGUAAACUGCUUUUGUACGGAGCGAAAAGGUCCUUUCUAAUACAAGGGGCUCAUGACGGUACCGUAAGAGUAAGCACCGGCUAACUACGUACCAGCCGCCGCCGUAAAAC